GCAUGCCUACAACAUAGCAUUAAUGCACCAGAUCCCAUUAGAACUCCGUAGUUAAGUGCGCUUAGCCUAGACUAGUAUUAGGUUGGGUGACCACCGGGGAAGUCCUGGUGUUUUAUAUGCA
rfam:Picea glauca, whole genome shotgun sequence.